rnacentral:rRNA from 1 species
AUUACUGAGUGAGGGCUCACGCCCGACCUCCAACCCUUUGUGAACACAUCUUGUUGCUUCGGGGGCGACCCUGCCGGCACUACGUCGCCGGGCGCCCCCGAAGGUCUCCAAACACUGCAUCUUUGCGUCGGAGUUUAAACAAAUUAAACAAAACUUUCAACAACGGAUCUCUUGGUUCUGGCAUCGAUGAAGAACGCAGCGAAAUGCGAUAAGUAAUGUGAAUUGCAGAAUUCAGUGAAUCAUCGAAUCUUUGAACGCACAUUGCGCCCUUUGGUAUUCCGAAGGGCAUGCCUGUUCGAGCGUCAUUUCACCACUCAAGCCUGGCUUGGUAUUGGGCGUCGCGGCUCCGCGCGCCUUAAAGUCUCCGGCUGAGCCAUUCGUCUCUAAGCGUUGUGGAUUUUCUAAUUCGCUUCGGAGUGCGGGUGGCCGCGGCCGUUAAAUCUUUAUUCAAAGGUUGACCUCGGAUCAGGUAGGGAUACCCGCUGAACU